rnacentral:rRNA from 1 species
GGCUCAGAGUGAACGCUGGCGGCAGGCCUAACACAUGCAAGUCGAGCGGCAGCGCGUCCGACCACCCUCGGGUGGUCGGAUGGCGGCGAGCGGCGGACGGGUGAGGAAUGCAUCGGAAUCUGCCUCGUUGUGGGGGAUAACGUAGGGAAACUUACGCUAAUACCGCAUACGACCUACGGGUGAAAGUGGGGGACCUUCGGGCCUCACGCGAUGAGAUGAGCCGAUGCCGGAUUAGCUAGUUGGCGGGGUAAAGGCCCACCAAGGCGACGAUCCGUAGCUGGUCUGAGAGGAUGAUCAGCCACACUGGAACUGAGACGCGGUCCAGACUCCUACGGGAGGCAGCAGUGGGGAAUAUUGGACAAUGGGGGCAACCCUGAUCCAGCCAUGCCGCGUGUGUGAAGAAGGCCUUCGGGUUGUAAAGCACUUUUGUUGGGGAAGAAACCGGCCGGGUUAAUACCCUGGUUGAAUGACGGUACCCAAAGAAUAAGCACCGGCUAACUUCGUG